GACGAGCGCUGGCGGCGUGCUUAACACAUGCAAGUCGAACGGAAAGGCCCUGCUUUUGUGGGGUGCUCGAGUGGCGAACGGGUGAGUAACACGUGAGUAACCUGCCCUUGACUUUGGGAUAACUUCAGGAAACUGGGGCUAAUACCGGAUAGGAGCUCCUGCUGCAUGGUGGGGGUUGGAAAGCUUCGGCGGUUGGGGAUGGACUCGCGGCUUAUCAGCUUGUUGGUGGGGUAGUGGCUUACCAAGGCUUUGACGGGUAGCCGGCCUGAGAGGGUGACCGGCCACAUUGGGACUGAGAUACGGCCCAGACUCCUACGGGAGGCAGCAGUGGGGAAUAUUGCACAAUGGGCGGAAGCCUGAUGCAGCAACGCCGCGUGCGGGAUGACGGCCUUCGGGUUGUAAACCGCUUUCGCCUGUGACGAAGCGUGAGUGACGGUAAUGGGUAAAGAAGCACCGGCUAACUACGUG
rnacentral:rRNA from 1 species